rnacentral:misc_RNA from 1 species
GAUGAAGAACGUAGCAAAUGCGAUAAGUAAUGUGAAUUGCAGAAUUCAGUGAAUCAUCGAAUCUUUGAACGCACCUUGCACCCUUUGGCAUUCCGAAGGGUAUGCUCGUUUGAGUGUCAUUGUACUCUCACUCUCCCGAUACUUUUGGAUCGGGAGUGGUGGACUUGGGUGCUGCUGCUUAACUGUGGCUCGCCUUAAAUGAAGUAGUGCAACUCUCGGUUGGACAUAGUACGGCGUGAUAAGUGUCUUCGCCGGCGCCUCAUUCGAGGGUGGCCGAUCGGGAGCUCUGUGCUUCAAACUGUCUUCGGACAACAUCUGACAACUUGACCUCAAAUCGAGUAGGACUACCCGCUGAACUUAAGCAUAUCAAUAAGCGGAGGA